rnacentral:tRNA from 1 species
ACGCCAAUAGCUCAAUUGGAAAGAGCAACGGAUUUCUAAUCCGUAGGUUGCAGGUUCGAUCCCUGCUUGGUGUACCA